GACGAACGCUGGCGGCGCGCUUAACACAUGCCAGUCGAACGGAAAGGCCUGCUUUCCCUUGUGGAUUGCGGGUACUCGAGUGGCGAACGGGUGAGUAACACGUGAGUGAUCUGCCCCCAACUUGGGUAUAAGCCUGGGAAACUGGGUCUAAUUCCCGAUAGGACUGCAGGGUGGUGCCUGUGGUGGAAAACGAUUUUCUAGUGGUUGGGGAUGAGCUCGCGGCCUAUCAGCUUGUUGGUGGGGUAAUGGCCUACCAAGGCGGCGACGGGUAGCCGGCCUGAGAGGGUGGACGGCCACAUUGGGACUGAGAUACGGCCCAGACUCCUACGGGAGGCAGCAGUGGGGAAUAUUGCACAAUGGGCGGAAGCCUGAUGCAGCGACGCCGCGUGGGGGAUGACGGCCUUCGGGUUGUAAACUCCUUUCGACCGCGAGGAAGCCACCUGGUUGGAAGGGUGGUGACGGUAGUGGUAGAAGAAGCACCGGCUAACUACGUG
rnacentral:rRNA from 1 species